rnacentral:rRNA from 1 species
UGAGGAAUAUUGGUCAAUGGGCGAGAGCCUGAACCAGCCAAGUAGCGUGCAGGAUGACGGCCCUAUGGGUUGUAAACUGCUUUUAUAUGGGAAUAAAGUGAGGGACGUGUCCCUUAUUGCAUGUACCAUACGAAUAAGGACCGGCUAAUUCCGUGCCAGCAGCCGCGGUAAUACGGAAGGUCCAGGCGUUAUCCGGAUUUACUGGGCGUAAAGGGCGUGUAGGCGGCUAGAUAAGUGUGAUGUUUAAAUCCAAGGCUUAACCUUGGGGUUCAUUACAAACUGUUUAGCUUGAGUGCUGGAGAGGAUAGUGGAAUUCCUAGUGUAGCGGUAAAAUGCGUAGAUAUUAGGAGGAACACCGGUGGCGAAGGCGGCUAUCUGGACAGUAACUGACGCUGAGGCGCGAAAGCGUGGGGAGCAAACAGG